GACAUCAUAGAAGGCUACCAGGUCAAGCACGAUAUUCUUUUGGUGAAUCCAUGUCUACUGCUACUAAGCUUCUUUUCUUGCACUUGCCUGGGGAUGGCAUCUAGAAUAAUCUGCUUUAUCACCUUUCCGGAGAUGGAGAUUUGCAGUCAGCCUGCUUUGUAAACAUGUGGAGAACGACAAAAGUAGAAGACACAAGGAUAUUGCAUGCUCAGUGCAUGUCAGCACAACAUCCACAGAGCUGAAGAAAGGUCGUGAGCCCGUUGUGUCAGACACAGCACAGACACUCAGAAAGAAACAGCUUUAACUUGUUCAUAUCAGAGCAGAUGCAGGGGAGUCACUGCAAAUGCCCCAACCCCAAGAAAAUCCUCAGCUAAAGCUAAGACAGCAAAGUCACAUUUCCAGCAGACAUAAAGCUGUAGGAAAGCGGAUUUCCUUACUUCCAGCGCUCAGAAAACCAUCCUGGCUUGUAUUAAAUGGUGCAUAAAUGUUUUUUUAAGUACCAUCAGGAGACAGCAUUUCACUGGCAUAGAACAUCCGAAUCUUUCAAAAUGAAGUGAAUUCAAAAUAUGUUUUCAAGUUUUAAUUGAUAAAACAGUUUUGAACGUCUAAAUGCCAAUUUCCCAUAGUUUUCAGGGCCUUUCUGGCCGUUUAUUAAGCUGCUUGAGAAUGAAUUUUAAGAUGGGAGGAAACACAGACAACACGAUGUACCCACAGAAAGUUUGCUCACUUGAGAAAGCAGAAAGAAAACGUGCAAUGUAAAAAUGAUGAAUUAUUCUGACUUAAACAAAGCAUAUGUUAUUCUGCUUUCUGAGUCAUCAAUUUUGCUAAUCUUCUUCUUCUUCUUUUUUAUCUACUACUUUAUGGAAUUGCUGGAGAACUGACAAAAUAAUGAGAAUCAGAUGUUUGUCUCUCCCUUAUUCUGCCUUAAUCGUACAGGAGAACCACGUGGAGGGCAGCUUAUUUUUAACAAGGGGGCCUUAAGAGUGAGCUACAUUAUCCUCGGCUGAAAUAGCUCAUGAAUCCUGCCUUUCCAAAAGUCCUCAUCAAGAAGGGAAGAAUUGCUCAAUAUUUAUGUUCACAUGAGCUCUUGCCAGCUUAUAAAAUGCAGUCCUAGGGAAAAAAAAAUAAAAGAAGCUGAACCAAAAAAAUAAUAAUCUGACUCAUGACUUUUCUUGCAGGACU